GCCUUCGUAGUGUAAUGGUCAGCAAGCUCGACGCGUAACCGAGAGUUCCGUGGUUCGAUCCCCGGCAAAAGCG
rnacentral:tRNA from 1 species